GAAAAACACAGUACUUUUUUAGAAAGUUCAUUAUAGCACACUAGCGCUUCACGCGGUGCAGUACUAACAAACCUUUUUCUCUCUAGCACGUAAGGCUCACACAUGCGUUCCUUCUCCAGAAAGAUUACAGAACAGGUAAUCGUAACUCACCUCCACUAAGUCGGUUCUAUCGUAACUACUGAACGGAUCCAUUAUUAAGUUCAUUCGAUUCUUCAACUAAGCAAAUACAAAGACUGUCGUACAAACGUAACAAUAUGUUCGUUACAGAGAAGUGUCACGAUUUACGCGAAGGUAAAUGUAUGUCACAGCGCGGCGUGAACAAGUCGCAUCACUGUCUGUUGGAAAACAGAUCGAAAACAAUUAUACUUCAAACUAAACACGAGGUCGCGGCGUUGUCCCGCAACGCGAUACUGAUCGCCGGUCGCCGAAAUGUCUCUGACGAAGACGCCAGGCGAUGUGGUGACGCGAAAGACGUCAGCGGGAGUAUCACGGGGACGGAUAGCGCGGAAGAGCAGGUUUCAACGGGGAUUUCCCGCUCUUUGGAAUUGACCAAUCAUCGGCGACGUGCUUCACGAUAGCUGACGCAAUAAUUGCGGAUACACACCAUUGGCGGCGGUUGCCGAGAUCCGGAGAAUUCGAGACGAAAACGCAACCGAAAAUAUAGCUAACGCGACGGUUAUUCCCCAAGUGGCUUCAUUAUUUUGCGAUCCAACGAGGUCGACCGGACGGUGCACUGGGGUAUCCGUAUCAUCGAAAAUCUAGCCGAAAAUUCAUCUUCUUUAAUUUUUCCUCAACUGUGAAAUUUUCAUUCUUAGGAAAAACCAAAGCAGGAAUAUUAUAUUUACAAAUUUUAUUUCUGCACCUUUGAAGUGAUACAUACGUGUAAUAAAUAAAGCUAAAUUUUGAUAAUGGUCUCCUCAGCCCUUAUAUACCGUAUUUUUUAUUGUUGUAUCAACUACUCUCUUAUGAUAAACAAUAUUUUAAAAUGGACUAUAAUUUAUUCAUGUUUUUUAAGAAUGUCAUGUAUCACUUAAAAUAUCAUCCUGUUAUAUUUCAGGAUACAUCCCAAUUUUUGUAAAAAAAAUUAAUUGUAAAGAAUGCUUUGUUACGCUUAUAGUAUAAUCGCUCGAAUUGAAUUUCUUUAGCUAUUGUAAGUAGAAAUGAUAAUAAUGUUACGUAUUUUUUAAACCACUAGAAUCAUUUGGAAUUAAUUUGAUAAUGCGGAAUCAAUUUGCGAUAUAAUGCAAGAGCGAAAGUUUAGAAAAAGAAACGGAAUAUCUUGCAGACUUUCGUCGAACCAAGAAAAUUUUUAAGAAGAACCUCAAGCGUUUAAACACAAAAUGCAUAUCUCGCUUAAAGUAGAAGAGAAGAGGGUUGCAUCAUAAGGGGUUAUAGUGUACUAUUCAAAAUUCCGACAUGUAAAAUAGAUCCUCUGGUUUAUAUAAAAAGAGAGUUUUUUAAAUAUAUAUUUGGGCAAAUAUAUGUUAUGAAAAAUUCAUAUGUGGCGUUUAAAAUACGUUUUUUCCAAACAAAUACAUAGGUUGUUUGCCGCCAAGUAGGAACACGUGUGGCGAAGAUUCGAGUUUUCGCAGUUCAAAUUACUAAAUCAACCAAACGAUAUCAAUCUUUUUUAAGGUUAAAAGGUUGUACGUCCAAUCGGUUGUAUAUAAAAUGAUUCCGCAAAAACAAAUAACAGAUAAGAAAUGAUCGAAUGUAAUUAAGUGUGCAUGUCUGUGUACAAAUAUCUUAAAUAUACUUUAUACUUUCAUUAACUAAACAACGCAUGAAAGAGUUAUCGGAUAUAAAUAUGUUGUCAUAGAUGGAAUUUCAUUCAAUGAUUUAAUGUAAUGAUUUAUAAUAAUACUAAUUUGGGUCAGUAAGGUAAAUUUUUCUAGUGAAUAAUAUGCAGUUAUAGAAGCAUAUAAUUAAUCUAUUUAGUUAAAUAUAUUUUAAUUUCAUGAAAUAUUUAAAUUCGACUGCUUUAAUUAUCUUAUAAAAUCAUUCUCACUCUUUCCAAUCUUUUAUAAAGAUGCAUGCGACUUAUAUGCUGUAUUUACAGAUAUCAUUAUAUUAAUGUCUUCAAAUAUUUCCAGUCGAUCGAUAUGCUGUUGCGCGAAGCCAGAGUCUUGCGGUUAAUCUAAUUUCCAUAAAAUGGAAAUCGCUAUCGGGUUUCGAUUUUUUCCUGGAAGUAUCUUUUUAAAAAAAAAAAAACAUUUAUUGCAAAUCAGCAACGAUUCAACGUACGAAACAGUUACGAAAUAACCAGGAACAAAAAUUCGUCUGUACGACAAGACUUCGUCGGUAUUCCCGUGACAUUGAGGCGUUUGAAGAUCUCUACGAAGAUUCCAUUUUUUUUCUCUCUUACAGCGUUAUUAAUAGACACAAGUUGUUCGUCGCAUAAUUCUCAAUAGAUUGACUAGCUAGAACCAGUGUGAGAAAAAAAGAAAAUGAUACUCUGCAAUAAUGUGCACGUAUACCAAAUUUUCCUGGAAUGUUGGAAUACGUUUACAUAUAGUAGAGAAAUAUUUUCAAUGGAUCCACUAAUGUGUCCAAUUCGUACGUUCUACCCUGUAUACAUAUAAUAUUUCCAUCGCAUUCGUCCAGACAAAAUGCAAUAUUCGAAAAAGCUUUUCACAUUGGCGGCGCCUAUGGACUCGUUUAUUU